AUUGCUGUCCUAUUUGUUCAUCUAUGGUAUUUGAAGUGAAAAUAAGCACAAAACCAGUCAUUUUGACAAUUAAGAUUCUAUCAAGGAACCCUAUUAAGGUGACUAUAUCAGAGACAAAAACAAAACGUGUACACUACACAUAAAAAAGAAGAUGUGGUAUGAUUGCCAAAGAGACAACUUUCCACAAGAGACCAAAAUGACACAGAAAUUACCAACUAUUAUAGGUCACCGUACGGUCGUCAACAAUGAAUAAAGCCCAUACCGCAUAGUCAUCUUUAAAAUGUCCCGAAAUAACAAUGGAAAACGACUUCGGAAAACUAACGGCUUAUUUAUGUACAAAAAAUGAACGAAAAACAAAUAUGUAACACAUAAACAAACAACCACUGAAUAAGUAUACAAGACAAAAAGAAAAGGACAGUACAAAAUAUGUAAAGAAUCUAAUCUUAAAUAAAAAUGAAAAUAAUCCUCGUACAAAAUAAAUAUUUAUAUAUACCGAAAAGAUUCUCUGGAAAGUUAAUUGGCAUAUUUUGAAUUUUACUUAAUAUAUUAUUCACCAGCAAUUUUAGAAAAAUAAUAAAUACAUAUUUGAACAAUACAACAAAGAAUUUUUCAGCACAGGAUCGGGAUAUUGUAACUUGAUAUGUACCAUAGUUUGUUUGAAAAAGUGUGAGGGAAUCGACACAUACACC
rnacentral:lncRNA from 1 species